AGCAGCCGCGGUAAUUCCAGCUCCAAUAGCGUAUAUUAAAGUUGUUGCAGUUAAAAAGCUCGUAGUUGAAUUUCGGGGUCAGCAAGUUGGUCGUGCCACCGGUAUGCACUGGCUUUGCUGAUUCCUCCUUCUUGUAGAACCGUAAUGCCAUUAAUUUGGUGUUGCGGGGAAACAGGACUGUUACUUUGAAAAAAUUAGAGUGUUUAAAGCAGGCUAACGCUUGAAUACAUUAGCAUGGAAUAAUGAAAUAGGACGACGAUCCUAUUUUGUUGGUUUCUAGGAUUGACGUAAUGAUUAAUAGGGAUAGUUGGGGGCAUUAGUAUUCAAUUGUCAGAGGUGAAAUUCUUGGAUUUAUUGAAGACUAACUACUGCGAAAGCAUUUGCCAAGGAUGUUUUCAUUAAUCAAGAACGAAAGUUAGGGGAUCGAAGACGAUCAGAUACCGUCGUAGUCUUAACCAUAAACUAUGCCGACUAGGGAUCGGAUGAUGUUAAUUUUAUAAUGACUCAUUCGGCGUACC
rnacentral:rRNA from 1 species